CAGUGUGCCUUCUCCUCCAUCAUCUUCUUUUCCAGUUGAUUGAGGUGCUCUUCACAUAGCUUCAGCUCUGCCCCAAGCUUCAGGCACAAUUUCUGAAUCUCACUAUGCAGGAGGGUGAAAGAAAUAGACUUUU